AACAAACAUAACAAUUUUAUAAAUUGUAUCUAUUACAAAACUAAGUUAAAUUUUCUGUAAAAUGUACAGAAACAUUCAUUAAGAUGCAAAUCAUCUUAUAAAACAUUAUUACUUGUAUGAGCAAAAUUAAAGGAGGAGAUAUGAUACACACCAUUUUAAUUCAAUAUGUAUUUAAAAAAAUCCAAAUUAGGAAGACUUUCAAAAUUAUGUUACAUGUAAUUUAACUAGGAGCUUGAAAUUUUUGUAACACUUUAAUGGUUGAUCUAAUUUCAGGCCUUAUCAUAGUUUCUCCUUUGUUGGAUAUAUAAUAAGGUGGAAAAUGAACAUGUGCUACUUUAAAUGUGUUACAUGCAUCUUGAUUCUGCUGUGUCAUAAUUGUAAAAAAAAUAUCUUUUAAUUAGAUAAAAAAAAAUAACAAUAUCUAACCCAUGAACAAAGGGGCUAAAACUACGGGUAUGCAUGCAAAAAUAACAUCUGCAAUUAAUAAAUAUAAAACCACUUAAAAAUUAAUAAAACAGAAAAUGCAAAACAUUCCAUCUCAGUGUAUAAAUAUAUUGAACAAAAAAUUCUGAAACAUCUAAUGAACACAAAAGGACAUGUAAAGAGUUAUAAAUAAGGAAUGUAAAAUGUAGGUCACAGCUACCAAUUUUCAAGUAUAAUUUGUUUUAAAUUGUCAAGAACUGGUAAAGUGUAGAAGAUAUUAUUACUUUUAAGCAGUCAUAGUAUGAGUUAAGGAUGUACUUAGGUGAGAUUUAGGAAUUUUAGUUAAAUGUUCAGACUCCUUGUUUUUCCCCCUACAAUCCAGUAUAGAGUAUUUUGCCCCAUAACACCCAUUCUAUAUUUCAUGUCAGACUUCAAUAGCUCAUAAAAGGUCACAUUCUAAAUUUCUUUUCUUUUAAUUUGAGACCAGAAUAAAGAAAAUGCAAAUGUAAGGUAAAAGUCUGAGUCAAUCUUUUCCCGGUAUUCAAAAAUAAUUAAACAUCUUGAAAAGAAUCUCCAUAACCUAACAAAAUGAUUAGCUUAUUUUGUUCCUCAAUUAAGUUAUGCUCUUCUAAAAUAUAGUAUCAAUUUUUUUUAUUUAUUUUUUUAAUUUCACCUUAGUACACCUUUGAAUUCAUGAACUCUAAUAGAUUCUUAUAAGUCUGUAUAAUUUUGGUCUUGGAGAAACUCCAUUUAAAAUUGAAAAGACUGUAUAGAAGACGUCAAUGUCAUGUUACUGAUGUUAGGCCUUGUUCACACUUGGAACAUUCAGAUAGAUUUAAACUAGAUCCUUGUACUUAAGAUUGCAUGUUGACAUGUAGUGUGAACACAUAGGUUCAGAUUGGACCAAUAGAGAUCACUAACAGGUUUUAUAUAGAUCAAGUAAAAAAAGCCAUUGUGAACUUGAUCUUUGAAAACAUUGUACCUAACUUGAGGAUUGACCUAAGUAAGUCAUUGAAGCAUGAAAUUGAGGUUGACAACAACAGACAUGCCAAACAAAUGGACAACUAUUAAAUUCGUGCAUUUUCCUGCACUUUGCUGGUGAAGAAACCAACAAAAUUUGACAUUAUACUGUGGAUUCAUUUAUUUUUCGUGGGUACCAAUUUUCGUGGAUUAAGAAAAACUUGCAUAUUCAUGGAUAUUUAAUUUCGUGGUUUUGCUGAAGUCUGCAUACAAACCUAUAGAAAAAU
rnacentral:lncRNA from 1 species